AUAAGGAAUUUUCUAGCAGAAGCACAUCUACCAGAAACAGGCAUUGGAAAAAGUUUCACCCUGAAUUUGUUGGGAAGGAACAAAUAAAACACUUUAUAUGUCCAAUGUGUACUAAUGAUAUCCAGACAUUUUCACAUUUUAACUGUUUAAACAAACAUUUGCUUGAUAUUCACCAUAUAACUGUCAAAGAAUCAAUUUUAAAUUUUAGGAAUUUUGAAGAAUUCACAUCUUGGAGGGCACAAGAUAAUAGGGAAGUAGAUUAUGCUUGUCAGAUCCGAAACAAGUUUAAGAAUGGGGAAGAACACAUAUUUUACAAUUGCAACAGGAGCGAUAUCAGAGGAUUUAAUAGCGCGUGCAAAGUAAGAAGUGAGAAGUCUGGGAGAAGCAUUCGCAUUCAAGGAACAUGUCCCUCAAAGAUUUUAGUAAAAGUUUUAACAAGCGGAUCAGUUGCUGUGAAAUUUGUGGAAACUCAUGUAGGACAUGCAGACGAGUUAAGAACAAAACGGUUGUCCAAGGCUGAAGAAAAUAUUGUAGUUGGGCAAUUGACUGCAGGAGUGACAAACGAAAGGAUAAUUCAAGAUGCUAGGAAAAUUCAGAACAACACAAUACAAAGACUAAACCUACUAAGAAGAGGAGACCUUGCAUAUUUUAUAAGGAAGUAUAAUAUUGACAAAAAAAGAGAUGAGAGAUAUGGUAGCGACUGCUUUAAAAAUUAAUUAAUGGAGUAGCCAAGGAAAAAAUUAUGUGUUUUUAUUCAAAAGAAUAGGCGAUAGUUAUCCGGGAUUGAAUAAUAAUGAUUUUGCUGUGGGAUACAUGAAUGGAAUUAUGGAAAAAAAAUUAAGGACUUUAAAAGAAUUAUUUGCAUAGAUGGGACACACGGAACAAAUAGAAGAAAUCUAGAUCUAACAAUAAUUCUCGUUAAGAACGAAAAUAAUAUGGGCUUCCCAGUCGCAUUUUUACUUUCAAAGAGGUUAGACCAAGUAAUCCAAGAAAUCUUUUUUACGGCUCUUCAACUAAGGCUGGGCGAGACUCUUCAGACCGACUAUAUAAUGAGUGAUGAUGAUCCCAAAUAUUAUAAUGCAUGGAUCAAGGUGAUGAAUUUGGCAGAAAAACCUAGAAGACUUCUUUGUUCGUGGCACAUUAUCAAGAAUUGGAACAUCAAAGGAAGAUCAAAAUUGAAGAAGGCAGAAAAUAGAAUACAUAUGAAGAAGGAAAUGAGGAAAAUUUUAAAGGAGACCAAUAUUGCCACUUUUAUGGUGUUAAAAGAAAACUAUUUCAAGCAUUUGGAAGAGGAGGGUGAACACGAUUUCUUGAGAUACUUGCAGACCUUCUAUUUUCAAAGUGAAGAAAGGAUCAUGAUGUGGGCCCAUUGCCACAGAAUAAAUGUUGGUAUAAAUACAAAUAUGGCUAUAGAAAGUUUAAACAAAGUACUGAAAUACAAUAAAAUGGGAGGUCGACGCAAUCUUAAAGUUGAAAAAUUGCUGGAUUUGUUAGAUGAACUUGUGGAUGAGAGGAUGUGGAAGAGGAUAAUUAAUAGUGAAAGACCAAACUCAAAUAGCUAUCAGCAUAAAAUUGUAAUAAAAGCCCAUAAGAAAGCCGAAAAAAUGAAUGGUAAGGUAGAAUUUUUAGGAUUUGGAAAAUUCUAAAAAUUCUACCUUAAUAAAAAAGUACAAAGUGUUUCGGUAAGUGGUAAGUUCUAUGUUGUGUCUUGUCAUGAACUAUGUGAUGAGCAAUGUCGCACUGGAUACUGUAACAACUGUAAAAUAUGUUUUCAUAAAUACAGAUGUGAGUGUCUAGAAAAUUCUGUCAAAACAGUACUUUGUAAACAUAUACAUGCUGUAGCCACUUUUGAGCAGAGGAGCGAGUUUGUUGUAGGUUCCCCAACUGUGAGUGAAGAGAAAGAGGAUAAUGUUUUGUUUGUUGAUGAACCCACAACUAGCCAAAUCAAUUAACAGGAGGAUGUAAACCAUUUUAUUUAGGAGAGUUCAAAAAUGAAAGUCAAUAGUUCUGCAAUGGACUUUGAAGAAAAUCAAGAAAUUGCAUUGCAAGAAAUUUGUAGCUAUGGUAGAAGUUUAGAUAAAAAUGCAUUUGCCAGAUUUAUGGCUGUAAUCAACAAAUUUAAAAAUAAAGAGGUGGAGUAAGAAAAUUUUAAGGGCAUUGAAAAGAAAAG
rnacentral:lncRNA from 1 species